UUGACAUGUACGGAAGCCUUUAGAGAUAGAGGCGUGCUCGAAAGAGAGCCGUAACACGAGGUGCUGCAUGGCUGUCGUCAGCUCGUGUCGUGAGAUGUUGGGUUAAGUCCCGCAACGAGCGCAACCCUUGUCAUUAGUUGCUACAUUCAGUUGGGCACUCUAAUGAGACUGCCGGUGACAAGCCGGAGGAAGGUGGGGAUGACGUCAAGUCCUCAUUGGCCCUUAUAGGUGGGGCUACACACGUCAUACAAUGGCUGGUACAAAGGGUUGCCAACCCGGCGAGGGGAGCUAAUCCCACAAAGCCAGUCGUAGUCCGGAUCGUAGUCUGCAACUCGACUACGUGAAGUCGGAAUCGCUAGUAAUCGUGGAUCAGAAUGUCACGGUGAAUACGUUCCCGGGUCUU
rnacentral:rRNA from 1 species